CUGAUCUCAAUCUCAGCUGGGUAUAAAGCCUCUGGGGCGCGGGAGCCCCACCCGCAGCUGCAGUGUGGAGCCGCAAGAGCAGCGCAGAGUCCUCCCCCCGGCAAGGUGCCCCCCAGCGGGCUGUCUCAUCUAGCCUGGAUGGUUCAUCUCCCAGUCCUGCUACAGAGUCUCUGAUCUUUGAGACACAAGGCUGUCCUCUGAGAGACACCUGGAAAGGAGGCUCGAGCUUAGGAGGUCCAGCAGAUCGCUGACAUCAGAAGAGAGAUGGUGGGAGAUGCCCAGGACCAAUGGAUGGCUGACCCCAUAAAUACUAGAAUCUCUGGUUACAAAAGCCCCUUCUGCCUGCUCUGGCCUUCUGCCUGUGCCUGCUGCUCCCCUGAGACCCUCAAUAAACUUAC
rnacentral:lncRNA from 1 species